UGGUUCUAACCAGUAGGAGCUGACGAAGGUAAUGCGAUAGUCACUACCAUGAUUUUAUUCCCUUAGCCCAUUAAGACGACAGUUUUCUGCUGGCCCUGAAGAAGGAACCUGCCAUGUGUGAGAGGGUAACAGAGGGAGCCACAGGGCAAGAUGCUCAAGAGUCUCUAGUUGCUGAGAGUGGCUUGGCUGACAGCCAGGGAGCAAAGGGGAGUCUACUCCCAUAACGGGAGAAACUGAAUUGUGCCAAUAACCGCGCUCGCUAGCUUGAAAGACUAUCCCCAAGUUCCAGAACAGAAUGCAUCUUGCCAACACGUAGACUGCAGCAUUCUGAGAUCCUGACCAGAGAUUCCAGUUAAGCUGUGCCUGGAUUUCUUGACCCAAGAAAACUGAAAGAAUAAGCUUAAUCAGGUUUCUGAUGAACAGAAAACAUUCCCCAAACAACAGCAGAAUCCUGUGGAGUCCAGGAAUAGUAUAUGAUUUCUUCAAAGUAAAACUGAAAUGUCGUCUGCAAGAUUAUAAACCUAUUAUGUGGGGGAUAAAUCUAAAAGAGAUUGCUCAAUACAGCACUUACUUGCUCUUGAUGUUGACUAAGUGGUCUAGAGUGGACCAAUCUUUCUGGCAGUUUGCGAUCCAGACCAUGUCCAUUUUCCAAACGAGACUCCCUGGGUUUGUCAAACCAAUCUGUUUCUUCACGACGCAGAUGAUAGGCUUUGGAGACCAAGGAAAUAUCAAACAUUGCAAGCACAACUAAUACAGAUGAUAGAGGACAGAAGAUGCUCUGAAGUACCAACAUGCUCCAGACUUGUUAGCCAUUCAUGCAUUUCAAAUACAACUCCCAGUAGGAUGAGAAAAAUCAUUUCCAACACUAUGAUAAAAAUUUUGUACCAUGGAGUAACUUAGAAAAAAAAUAAUGUACACACCUGUUCAAACUCUCAGAGGAAAAUAAAAUAAAAUUUUAAAUGAGAAGAAAUUUUGAUAGUGACUGAAUCAAUGAACAAGUGAGUAUGCCUCAGAAGUGAUUUUAUUCAACCUCAACCCUUUAGUUUCUACUUUCUCACCUCUCCCCCACUACC